ACCACUCGGCAACGGAUAUCUUGGCUCUCGCAUCGAUGAAGAACAUAGUGAAAUGCGAUACCUAGUGUGAAUUGCAGAAUCCCGCGAACCAUCGAGUCUUUGAACUCAAGUUGCGCCCAGGCCACUCGGCCGAGGGCACGCCUGACUGGGCGUCA
rnacentral:rRNA from 1 species